GUCCGCAACGAGCGCAACCCUUAUCUUUAGUUGCCAUCAUUUAGUUGGGCACUCUAGAGAGACUGCCGGUGUCAAACCGGAGGAAGGUGGGGAUGACGUCAAGUCCUCAUGGCCUUUAUGAUCAGGGCUACACACGUACUACAAUGGUCGGUACAAAGGGCAGCGACAGGGCGACCUGUAGCGAAUCUCUUAAAGCCGUUCUCAGUCCGGAUUGGAGUCUGCAACUCGACUCCAUGAAGUUGGAAUCGCUAGUAAUCGUGGAUCAGCAUGCCACGGUGAAUACGUUCCCGGGCCUUGUACACACCGCCCGUCACACCAC
rnacentral:rRNA from 1 species